AAGAAUUUGAUGUUAAUUCGUGGGUGCAUUCACCUAAGAUACCUUAGGUUGAAAAAUUGUCACACUGUUACACUUCCUUCUUCUAUUGGACAACUCCUUUACUUGCAAACUGUAGAUCUGAGGGGCACAUCUCUUGGCAGAAGUUUACCAAUCACCGCAUGGGCUAUCCCUACCCUAAGGCACCUUUACCUUGAUUCUGGAUCUUGUGGAAUCAUUAAACAAGACCCCAUGCCACUCCUAGAGAAGCUUCCAUGUCUUGUGGUGUUGCAUCUAUGGAAUUAUCGGGGCCCGACUAUGCACUGCUCUGCCCAAGGAUUCCCUCAGCUGCAAAAUCUGGAACUUCAUUUAUUUAGUACCGAGUGGACGAUAGAGGUGGGGGCAAUGCCAAGGCUCUCCAACCUGAACCUUCUGAGUUGCGGGAUGCACAAGCUCCCCCAGGAUCUGCUGAACCUACAGUGCUUGAAGAAGUUGGAAACUAACCACUGGCGGCUUAAAUUUGACAACACAUGGAAAGAACUGAAAAAGAAGGGAUGCAAGAUGUGCGUUUUGGUGGAUGCCUCUUAGAGAUACUCAUGGAGCCAGGCAUAUACUCCAUAUAGAUGCCCUCAGGAUCCCGGGGCGAUGCGUACGAGGGUGAAAUGACAAGUGAAGGGAGUCGAGGACACAUAAGGGAAAGAGAAGGGAUCAACAAACAGGGCUAUGCCUUUUACUCCACGUAAUUUGUGGCACUGAUAUUCUAUCUGAUUCAUGUAAUUUGUGUGUGUACAGAGAUGAACACGUGUGCUACGAUGGUAAUUUUUGUAUGUACUCAAUUUGGUAGUCACAAGGCUUAUGGUU